rnacentral:lncRNA from 1 species
CGGUCUAGAAUAGCUGACGAUAGUUAGCCAAGAUUAGGUUGUUGUAAAUAGUUGUUACGCUAUGUACAGCUGUACUUCUUUGGUUGUUACGCUAUGUAUAUCCUUGGCGCGUUUCGUCGCCCUAUAUUAACAUGCAGGCAGAGCACGGAACUGUGUGGCUGCUUUCACCCAUUCUUCCGCACCUCUGUUAUUCUUACAUGGUAUCAGAGCGUAGGUUAGAUCCUAUCUACAAACAUGGCCGGCAGCUCCUCCUCCGCUUCUGGAAUUGCCUCCAUGCUCACCCAUCCAGUCUCAGAGAAGCUCGCCAAAAACAACCAUGCAACAUGGAAGGCCCAGGUCGUCGCCACCAUGCGCGGCGCUCGCCUAGAGGGCUACCUCACCGGCAAGGCCACGGCGCCUGCUGCUGAACUUGAUGGCAAGGACGGUGACAAGGGCGUCAAAGUCGUCAAUCCUGCAUAUGAUGACUGGCUAGCUUCGGAUCAGCAGGUCCUUAGCUUCCUUCUUGCCUCUGUAUCCAAGGAGGUCUUGACUCAGAUCGCCACCAAAACAACUGCGGUUGAUGCAUGGCGCACCAUCGAGACCAUGUUCUCGUCGCAGAAACGAGCACGCGCUGUAAAUACGCGCCUGGCUCUCUCCACCACCCACAAAGGGAAUAUGACAGUGACCGAGUACGUCGGGAAGAUGCGUUCUCUCGGCGAUGAGAUGGCUGCAGCAGGGCGGCCCCUUGAAGAUGAUGAACUGGUGGAAUAUAUUCUCACCGGUUUGGAUGAAGAAUAUGACUCGCUGGUGUCCGGAGUCCUCUCUCGUACCGAUCCAAUCUCGGUGAGUGAACUCUACUCUCAGAUGCUUGCCUUCGAGACUCGGGUUGAACUGCGAAACAAUAGCAGCUCAUCUGGAUCAUCUGCCAAUAUUGCAAAUCGACGAGGACGUGCCGGCUUCGGGCGGAAUGGUCGUGGCGGCCGUGGAGGAAGAGGCACCAGUGCCCCGUCGCAACGUGGCGGCCGUUACAACAACAACAACAAUUUCCCUCGCCAAGGGAGCAGCAACAUGCGCAGCAACAAUUCCACAAACAAGCCUCCAUGCCAAGUUUGCUUCAAAGUUGGACAUACUGCAGAUCGAUGCUGGCACAGGUUUGAUGAGAACUUUGUUCCAGAUCCAAGGCAUGCUGCUGCGGCUGCCACAAGCUCCCACACUGUAGAUACCAACUGGUACACAGAUACGGGAGCUACUGAUCACAUAACUGGAGAACUGGACAAGCUGUCAUUCAGGGAAAAAUACAAUGGAGGCGAUCAAGUUCACACAGCUGAUGGAACAGGUAUGGAUAUUAAUCAUAUUGGUAAAGCUACUAUUCAUACCCAGACUUGCAAUCUUAGCCUAGAUCAUAUCUUACAUGUUCCACAAGCCACAAAGAAUCUUGUAUCUGUUCAUCGUCUUACUGCAGAUAAUAAUGUCUUUCUUGAAUUUCAUCCUAACUUCUUCUUGAUAAAGGACCGAGACACGAAGAGCACACUACUUAAAGGGAGAUGUCACAAGGGAUUGUACCCUCUGCCAUCAGUAACGUCCAAGCAAGCUUUUGGAGUCACCAACCCAUCUUUUGAAAGGUGGCAUAGCCGCCUUGGUCAUCCUGCUGCCCCCAUUGUCCAAAGGGUCAUUAGUAGCUUUAAUCUUCCAUGUCGAGUUGAGUCAAAUAAAGAGUCUGUGUGUAGUGCUUGCCAGCAAGCCAAAAGCCAUCAGCUACCUUAUUCAAAGUCGUCUAGUGUUUCUAGUCAUCCCUUAGAACUUGUGUUUUCAGAUGUCUGGGGGCCUGCACCUGAAUCUGCUGGCAGAUAUAAGUACUAUGUGAGCUUUAUUGAUGAUUUUAGCAAGUUCACUUGGAUUUAUCUUCUCAAGUCUAAAUCUGAAGUGUUUCAAAAGUUCCAUGAGUUUCAAAACCUUGUUGAGAGGCUUUUUGAUCGAAAAAUUAUCACCAUGCAAACUGAUUGGGGAGGUGAAUAUGAGAAACUUCAUUCUUUCUGUACUAAGGUGGGCAUAUCACAUCAUGUUUCUUGCCCCCAUACUCAUCAGCAAAAUGGUUCUGCUGAGAGAAAACACCGGCAUAUUGUAGAGGUUGGUCUAUCCCUCCUUGCUCAAGCAUCUAUGCCACUCAAAUUUUGGGAUGAAGCCUUUCUAACAGCUACAUUUCUCAUUAAUCGCACCCCAAGCAAAGUAAUAUCCCAUGAAACACCCCUAGCACGCUUAUUCCAUGUCAAACCUGAAUAUUCAUCUUUUCGCAUUUUUGGUUGCGCUUGUUGGCCUAAUCUACGACCAUAUAACAAACACAAACUUCAGCUCCGCUCCAAAGAAUGCGUAUUCCUUGGCUAUAGCAAUAUGCACAAAGGAUUCAAGUGUCUCGAUGUUGCCACCGGGCGUGUCUACAUCUCUCGUGACGUUGUUUUUGAUGAGGACGUUUUUCCCUUCUCCAAACUGCACCCUAAUGCCGGGGCCCGGUUAAAGUCUGAUACUCUCCUUCUAUCACCAACUCUUGUUCCUGCUAGCCUACUGCGCUCUGGGGCUGAAUGUGUAGUUGAUCCUAUGAUUAAUAAUCCUGCUGCUAACAACCUUCCUGCAGACACUAGUGGCUCACAGGAUCCAGCUGAUGCAACAAAUCCGGGCACGGGAUCCGAUGGUGAUCCGCCGGCGCAAUCUGCCCCGGACUCUGCUCCUGCCCGUACACUGCCAGGGCACGCUCCCGUGUCGUCGCCUGACGGUCAGACUCACCUGUCCGGGUGUGACACGCGGCACACCGCGCCCAGUCAUCCGCCUCCGUCGUCUCCUGCCCGUACACCAUCUUCAGUAUCCGAUGGUGGCACCACGCGUCCAGGCGACGAUGCGCCUGUCGCGGCUGAGGGAGGCAAUGACAACCCUGCGGAUACUGAAGAUGCGGAUACUGAAGAUUCGCCUGCGCAGGUGCCCGGAUCCUCUGCGCCAUCCUCCACACCAAUUGAAGCAUCACACCGACCACACACCAGACUCCAGGCUGGUGUCAGGAGACCAAAGGUAUAUACUGAUGGCACUGUUCGCUAUGGUAGUUUUGCUUCAUCUGGUGAACCACAAUGCUUAGAAGAAGCUCUAGGAGAUAGAAAUUGGAAGUCUGCAAUGGACAUUGAGUAUGAUGCUCUUGUUAAAAAUAAAACAUGGCACCUAGUUCCACCUCAGAAAGGUAGAAAUAUAAUAGAGUGCAAAUGGGUCUAUAAGAUCAAACGCAAAGCUGAUGGGAGCCUGGAUAGGUAUAAAGCAAGAUUGGUUGCAAAAGGUUUUAAGCAAAGAUAUGGCAUAGAUUAUGAAGAUACCUUUAGUCCAGUUGUCAAAUCUGCUACUAUCAGAAUAGUGCUCUCUAUAGCUGUCUCCAGAGGAUGGAAUCUUAGACAGCUAGAUGUCCAAAAUGCCUUCUUACAUGGUUAUCUAGAAGAAGAAGUUUACAUGAAACAACCACCCGGCUAUGAGGACAAAACCAAAUUUAAUUAUGUGUGUAAACUGGAUAAGGCCCUAUAUGGUUUGAAACAAGCGCCACGUGCAUGGUAUUCUCGCUUAAGUGCUAAGUUACAAAGUCUUGGAUUUCACUCCUCAAGGGCGGAUACAUCCUUGUUCUUUUUCAACAAGGGAGGCAUAACUAUAUUUGUUUUGAUAUAUGUUGAUGACAUAAUAGUUGCUAGCUCAACACAUGAUGCCACCAAAGCCUUGUUACACCAGCUCGGUCAGGAGUUUGCCCUCAAAGAUCUGGGCGAACUUAGCUACUUCUUGGGGAUUGAAGUAAAUCGUGCACACAAUGGUAUAAUGUUGACUCAAGAAAAGUAUGCUUCUGACUUACUAAAAAGAGUGGGCAUGACUGACUGCAAACCUGUCACAACACCACUAGCAGUAAAUGAGAAACUAUCAGCAUCUGAAGGUACACCUUUAGGACCAAAUGAUGCAACCCAGUAUAGGAGCAUAGUUGGUGCGCUCCAAUAUCUCACUCUCACAAGACCAGACCUUGCUUUCCCUGUCAAUAAAGUGUGUCAGUUCUUGCACUGCCCUACUGUGAUUCAUUGGGCAGCUGUGAAAAGAAUAUUGAGAUAUGUCAAACAAUCAAUCAAAGUUGGAUUAAAAAUUGAGAAAUCUGAUUCUCUCCUGGUCAGUGGUUUCUCAGAUGCUGACUGGGCUGGUUGCCUUGAUGAUAGAAGAUCAACUGGUGGUUUUGCUGUGUUCCUAGGCUCCAAUCUGGUAUCUUGGAGUGCACGAAAACAGCCUACUGUGUCAAGGUCCAGUACAGAAGCAGAAUAUAAAGCUGUGGCUAAUGCAACAGCAGAAGUUAUGUGGAUCCAAACAUUGUUGCAAGAACUUGGUAUUGAAUCUCCACGCGCUGCCAAGCUUUGGUGUGACAACAUAGGAGCUAAGUAUCUCUCUCAAAAUCCUGUCUUCCAUGCACGAACUAAACAUAUUGAGGUGGAUUAUCACUUUGUACGAGAACGAGUAUCCCAAAAACUGCUAGUUAUUGACUUUGUUUCUUCAGGAGAUCAAAUUGCAGAUGGCUUUACAAAAGCACUUCCUGUACGACAACUGGAGAACUUCAAGCACAAUCUCAACCUAGCACGGUUGUGAUUGAGGGGGGCUGUUAGAUAAACAAAUAUCUAUGUAAUGCUAUCGUAACAACCUGAAGAUAGCCGGUCUAGAAUAGCUAACGAUAGUUAGCCAAGAUUAGGUUGUUGUAAAUAGUUGUUACGCUAUGUACAGCUGUACUUCUUUGGUUGUUACGCUAUGUAUAUCCUUGGCGCAUUUCGUCGCCCUAUAUUAACAUGCAGGCAGAGCACGGAACUGUGUGGCUGCUUUCACCCAUUCUUCCGCGCCUCUGUUAUUCUUACAUCAGGUACCAACAACCAAGCACUUUGCCGCUUGCUCUAGGGACGAUCAGUAAAACAAAUAGUUUUUUUCAUUUAAGAAAUAGUUUGUUCGACAUUCUAAAAUUCAAUAUACGUGCUUUUAUAUAUUGUAUAUAUAUUUCGUAUAUAAGUAUUGAAAAGUUAAUUCUAUAUAUAUUGCAAACUUGAUCAGGAUAACCACAAAUCCUGCUGAGUUUUUUUUUGAAAGAAAGACAGCAUGUUAUCGCUUCGUUUAUUUAUUUUAGAAAUAAAUUUGACUAAAAAUGUGAAUCAAUUAAGAUUCGAAUUUAGAACCUCGAGUAUCAACCACUAAGCUCUUUACUACUUACAUUGGGGACC